rnacentral:rRNA from 1 species
GCUUACGGCCAUACCACCUUAGGCACGCCCGAUCUCGUCUGAUCUCGGAAGCUAAGCAGGGUCGGGCCUGGUUAGUACUUGGAAUGGGUGACCGCCUGGGAAUACCAGGUGCUGUAAGCA